UUGAAAUAAAAACUUGGUUGGGGGUUGCUGCUGGCUCUCAGGAGCAUGUGCACACUCGCUCCAUUUUUUAAUACCACCUGUGCACACACUGUAGGCCUGAAUGAACUUUUUCGAGGUUUAAAAACUUUGGUUUGAGAACUGCCUUUGGGCUGUUCUUGUGUUCCCAGGUCUAUGUUUUAAACAAUAUACUCCAUAACAAGUAAUAGAAUGUCAAAUUAUGGGCCUUUUGUGCCUUUAAACCUAAUA
rnacentral:misc_RNA from 1 species